rnacentral:rRNA from 1 species
UACGUAGGGUCCGAGCGUUGUCCGGAAUUAUUGGGCGUAAAGGGCUCGUAGGCGGUUUGUCGCGUCGGGAGUGAAAACACGGGGCUUAACCCCGUGCCUGCUUCCGAUACGGGCAGACUAGAGGUAUGCAGGGGAGAACGGAAUUCCUGGUGUAGCGGUGAAAUGCGCAGAUAUCAGGAGGAACACCGGUGGCGAAGGCGGAUCUCUGGGCCUUGCCUGACGCUGAGGCGCGAAAGCUAGGGGAGCGAACAGG